UUGAAACAUUGGUUCCCAUAUGAUCACCAAAGUUAAGCAACUUUGAAUCUGAUCAGUACCUAGAUGGGUGACUGCUUGGGAAUACCUGGUGCUGUAA
rnacentral:rRNA from 1 species